AAAAAGAUGUUGAAAUUUUUUAAAGUAUUAUUUAAAAUUAAAUAAAUAAAUAAAUAAAUAAAUUGUAUUUUUUUGUAAUUUUAAAUAACAUGAUUAAAUAAUAUUACCGUACGAACCAAAUACAAAAAUACUAUAUUCUUAGUAAUAAAAUAAAUAGAAAUAAGAUUAUCGAAUAUUUUUUUACUUAUAAUAAUUUUUUAUAGUGCGAACCAAACGCGCUUAUUCUAAUAUUAUAAACUCAAGCAUUUUGAUUUUGCAAUCAUAACAUAUAAAAAAAGUCAGAGACAAUAAUUUUUUCUUAAUAUCUCCCAAACAAUUCCUAGUCUUCUAAAGUGACACUACAACAGAAUUAGGUUAUAGAGACACAUGUUUGGAACACUUUUAAGUAAGUGUCUCAUUUAUGCUAAAACUUAAAAAAACAUCUACUUAUGCCUAAAUAUAAAGCCCAAUCCAACCAAAAAUAAAAGAUUACUCUACUCAACCCACCACAUGCACCCAGUCCAUUUGACCCGAUUACAAACAUAAAAGAAAAAAAAAAGAAAAAUCAAUUACCAUCUUUUCUUCUCUCUUCACUCAAUCUAUUGAAAUUCUAGACGAAGAGCCUUUCCUGUCGUCCUCCUCCGCCACCGCAACCAACUAGAUAGAAUUUCGGUGGUUGCUAAAUGCUUAAAUAAGUGUUGGUAAUUAGCAGUACUAUUUUAUGUUUUAGCGACACUCUUUAACUGUCACUAUAUACCUAGCGACUCCACAUAUAGCAAUAUUUUUUAAAAGUGUCGGUAAUUUUAGCUAGCAGUAUUUUUUGACAUGUACCUAUAUUUAAAAGUGUCGCUAUAGAUCGUUUUUGUACGCAUUCUUAAAGAAGGUUUCCUUAAAU
rnacentral:lncRNA from 1 species